rnacentral:lncRNA from 1 species
UUGGUACUAGCUGCACAUGUGUGCCUGCACAAUAAUAAUCGAUUUCUAUUAACAACUGAUUAAAACAAAAUCAACAACACUUACCAAGCUAGGGGCAAGUAAUGAUUGUAUGAUUUUACUGGAUCAAAUCAUCAUUAUUCAAUAAUUGGUCCAAGAACAUUACAGUAUGAUUAAUUAAAACAGCAACCUACUUUGAUUUCUUUCCUUAUUUCUUCUUUAUGACUUGGUCAACAUACAUGAUACCUUUGCCUUUAUAAACUUCAGGGGGCUUACAGCUACGAACGCCAGCAGCAAACUGGUGCACCCUUUGGUUGUCUAUUCCAGUGAAGCACACAAUAUUUGGUUUGAAACAAAAUACUUUAACAACAAGAGGAAUGGUCAAUUGAACCUCAUGACUGUAACUCAAUUUUAGAAACAAAAGCCGCCCUUGGAAUUCAGCUCUUGCUGUGAAACCAACUCCAACUAUCUUCAAAAACUGAAAGAACAGAGCUUCCAUUUGAGGUGUUUCUAUAGCUAAAUCAGAAUCAUAUGGAUUUAGAAUUGCAUUGGAAAACCGAAAAGUAAGAAUUGUUCAAACAAAGAACUGAAAGGACAACACUAUAGUUUGUGAUAAUCAAAAAGGGAUUCUGAAUCUCAAAGUGGUUACAAGCAAUUUAAACAAUCUGUUAGCUCAAUACUGGCAAUAACCUUUUACAGUUUUAGAUCAAACAAGCCAAGAUGAUUUAAGAAACGCUUAGGAUAAAUGUCGUUCAAUCUCCACAAACUGAUGAAACCCAAAGGUAAAAUCAAAUUGAC